rfam:Megamonas funiformis YIT 11815 genomic scaffold supercont1.1, whole genome shotgun sequence.
AAAAUGCGAUGACGCGGCAGAUUGCUUGCAUAAGGCAAGGGAACUGGCGUGGAGAAAUUGUCCGGGUCAUGAAUCUGGGCGACAA